GAUGGCUGGAUGGCCGCACCCCUGAUUUAAUCGGGGGUGAGGAAAGUCCGGACUUCAUGAAGCAAAGGCGGCGGGUAAUGCCCGCCCGGGGUAACCCGAGGGAUAGCGCAACAGAGAAUAGACCGCUUAGUUUACUAAGUAAGGCUGAAACGGUGGGGUAAGAGCCCACCACGGUGAUGGUAACAUCACUGGUAUGGCAAGCCCCGCCUGAAGCAAAACCAAGUAGGAACCGCGUGGCCUUCGGGCCGGGGUCGCUUUAGCCCCAGCAGGUUCGGGUGGUUGCAAGAGCGUAUCAGCAAUGGUGCGCCCAGAUGAAUGGUCAUCGACGGCUUCGGCCUGAACAAAAUCCGGCUUACAGGCCAUCCG
rnacentral:RNase_P_RNA from 1 species